AGGAAGUGAUGAUAGAAAUUCAUGGUCUGUCAAUCCACUGAUAUUAUUUGAUGUUACUCAUGAAUCUCGACAGGUUCUGAUCCU